CGGACGGGUGAGUAACGCGUGAGAAUCUGGCUUCAGGUCUGGGACAACCACUGGAAACGGUGGCUAAUACCGGAUGUGCCGAAAGGUGAAAGGUUAACUGCCUGAAGAUGAGCUCGCGUCUGAUUAGCUAGUUGGUAGAGUAAAAGCCUACCAAGGCGACGAUCAGUAGCUGGUCUGAGAGGACGAUCAGCCACACUGGGACUGAGACACGGCCCAGACUCCUACGGGAGGCAGCAGUGGGGAAUUUUCCGCAAUGGGCGAAAGCCUGACGGAGCAAUACCGCGUGAGGGAGGAAGGCUCUUGGGUCGUAAACCUCUUUUCUCAGGGAAGAACACAAUGACGGUACCUGAGGAAUAAGCAUCGGCUAACUCCGUGCCAGCAGCCGCGGUAAUACGGAGGAUGCAAGCGUUAUCCGGAAUGAUUGGGCGUAAAGCGUCCGCAGGUGGCAAUGUAAGUCUGCUGUUAAAGAGUCUAGCUCAACUAGAUAAGAGCAGUGGAAACUACAUAGCUAGAGUACGUUCGGGGCAGAGGGAAUUCCUGGUGUAGCGGUGGAAUGCGUAGAGAUCAGGAAGAACACCAGUGGCGAAGGCGCUCUGCUAGGCCGUAACUGACACUGAGGGACGAAAGCUAGGGGAGCGAAUGGGAUUAGAUACCCCAGUAGUC
rnacentral:rRNA from 1 species